AAUAGAAGCCAACUGCUGCAGUGAGAAAGCGGCCAUUUGCUGUGCCAGCUGCAGCCAGGGACAGCAGAGGGAAGGGACAAGGGAGCAAGUGUGGAUGAAGGUUGUGCAGGAUGCAUCUCUGUUGGACAGUGACAUCAAGUCCAAGGAUCAUGUACCACUGGGUGCACUUUUCUCUCAGAGGCUGAAAACGCUGACAAAACAGCAUGAUUCAAAAGGACUCCGAGAUCUCAUCUCUGGCAAGCAAAUCACCGGAGAGUCUUCAGCUGAAGACAUCUGUGAUUUCUACCACGAGUUGCUCCUGGAUUACGUAACAAUGUCUGUAUGGCAAAUCCUGAGUUUUCUUACAGUGGAGUCUUGGAGUGCAAAGAGUAUAGAGACAACUAAUUCAAAAAUGAAACCUACCAGAGUGAGCAAGGACAGCCCUGGACACCUACAGCGUCUCAAUCAGAGGGUGACAGACGUUGCAACAGCAUACAGACCGUCUUCAGUAUGCUGCUGUCAGUCACUGGUGACUGAAGCUAUUCGUGGUCCAUAAUAAUGCACAGCUGCUCUGCAGGAGAAAUACCAAAGCUAAACAAACACUGCGCAGCACUAAUCAUCUAAUUUGGUUUUGGCAUUCUUAAAGUUCUGAUAAAUUCAUUUUAAAUAAGAGAGAUUGUUUUUCUUUCCAGUACAUUGAAGUGAUUUCAUGGGUUGUGUAACCUUCUUCCAAGCAAAUCAUACUUUCUGUGGACUUUUCCGAGACUGUUCGCUGAGACUUUCCUUCUUAUGAUGUUUACUGUUAACCGUUUGGAAGCGCAACAGAAAAUGAUGGGGGUUUAUUUCUCACUAUGAAGUACACUGUAAAUUUGAAAAAAUGAAAGCAGGGAACAGCUAAGUGAGAAUUAUUUUUUUUAUAUAUAACGUGUUCACCAGUUUCCUGGGCAAAGUUUAGAUAUAAUACAACAGGGGGGCAAUUUCUUCAGGAGAGCUUCUGGAUAAAAAAAGGCUGUUACUGUUGGCUCGUGUUGUUCUUGACUACCUUAGAAUGAGGAAUAUGGUAGAGUCCUCCAACUCCACAUACUGCAAAUGAGGGCUUGGUCAGAGUCCCUGGUAAGGAGUUAGCAUUUGAUUUCAGAAGAAGCAUGACUGGCUCUAGGAAAUGAGGAAAGCAGUUAUCUCUCUGCUAGAAAAACAGCUCAGGGAAAAAGACUGUCUUCUUUUGGGCUGAAUUUGUGCCUUUUUGGAGUCCAUGCUACAGUCUUUGGUAAAAUUGGGAUUUCACCACUAAUACUGCUUAACCCAUCUUUCAUUAAAAAAAAAAAAAA
ensembl:lncRNA